GUCUAUAGCCAUACCACCCUGAACACACCCAAUCUUGUCUGAUCUUGGAAGCUAAGCAGGGUCGGGUCUGGUUAGUACUCGGAUGGCAGAAAAAUGAUAUCUGCAGGAAAACUGGUGAAUAUCAGAUGCAGUCUGUA
rfam:Pan troglodytes isolate Yerkes chimp pedigree #C0471 (Clint) chromosome 1, whole genome shotgun sequence.